rnacentral:rRNA from 1 species
CCUUAGAUGUUCUGGGCCGCACGCGCGCUACACUGAUCAAGUCAACGAGUUUACAACCUUGGCCGGAAGGUCUGGGUAAUCUUUUGAAACUUGAUCGUGCUGGGGAUAGUCCAUUGCAAUUAUUGGACUUCAACGAGGAAUUCCUAGUAAGCGUGAGUCAUCAGCUCGCGUUGAUUACGUCCCUGCCCUUUGUACACACCGCCCGUCGCUACUACCGAUUGAAUGGCUUAGUGAGGCUUUCGGAUUGGAUCUGAGCAGCUGGCAACAGCAGCUUGGAACUGAAAAGUUAUCCAAACUUGGUCAUUUAGAGGAAGUAAAAGUCGUAACAAGGUU